rnacentral:rRNA from 1 species
UGAACCGUUCAGGGGUAAACCUGAGAAACCCGAAAGGUCGAAAGGGGAAAUUCAUUCGCGUUUCGGCUCGUCGGCGUAAGGCGGUCGCGAGACGGACGUUACGUUAUGUUCCAGUCCGCUCCUUCUGUUCUUCGUACCGGCGUCGAACGCGUGCACUUUUCCCCUAGUAGGACGUCGCGAUCCGUUGGGUGUCGGUCUACGGCCCGUUGUGGAGUCCGUUUGCGAUUUUCGCUUUCGGACCAGCGGUGUCCUGGCCGACCCGCUCGACGGUAUACAUACGGCGCGGGGCCGCUAAACUAUUUAGCGUCCGACGCGCGGCAAGCGCUCUCGAAUGGCGUCGGUGAUCGGACCCAGUGCCGAUCCUGACCUCGAGUGGCUGUUGGCCGUUGCUGUUCUCGGACAGACCUCGUUUUAACGCCGAUCAGCGACGCUAUAGCU